rnacentral:misc_RNA from 1 species
UUAUUAUCAUCUUUAGGUCAUUACAAAAUUGGUCAUAAGUUAAAUAGUUCAUAGCUAUUGCUAGCAUCUGAUUUUUUAGAUGUUUAGGGGUGGCAUUCUACUCACUUUCUUCACUUGCCAUUAGUGCCAUGGCGUGUAAGAUAGGUGCUCACCAUUCACAAUGUAAAUGUGUAAGAGAUUAUUGCUGUUCAGCUGUGAUUUCUAAAUUUGAAUUACGUAGUCUGUUUACUGAGAACAAAUAUUGAAUGUGCAAGUGGAAAGGGAGUCAUCUUAUUCAAUAUGGUGGCCAGUAUCUAAAGGGGGUCUGAAAGAGCCAAAAUUUGGAGUUGAUGACUAGUAAAAAUUAGGAUUUAAUUAUUUUGUGUCUUUUACGCUGAGGAGACAAUGCAACUGUCCAUUUUGUACAUAUCUAAAUCAG